rnacentral:rRNA from 1 species
GAUGAACGCUGGCGGCGUGCCUAACACAUGCAAGUCGAACGGUGAAGCAGAGCUUGCUCUGUGGAUCAGUGGCGAACGGGUGAGUAACACGUGAGCAGCCUGCCCCUGACUCUGGGAUAAGCGCUGGAAACGGCGUCUAAUACUGGAUAUGAGCUGCGACCGCAUGGUCAGCAGUUGGAAAGAUUUUUCGGUCUGGGAUGGGCUCACGGCCUAUCAGCUUGUUGGUGAGGUAAUGGCUCACCAAGGCGUCGACGGGUAGCCGGCCUGAGAGGGUGACCGGCCACACUGGGACUGAGACACGGCCCAGACUCCUACGGGAGGCAGCAGUGGGGAAUAUUGCACAAUGGGCGAAAGCCUGAUGCAGCAACGCCGCGUGAGGGAUGACGGCCUUCGGGUUGUAAACCUCUUUUAGCAGGGAAGAAGCGAAAGCGACGGUACCUGCAGAAAAAGCGCCGGCUAACUACGUG